GAUAGGCUUAGUCGUGUAGUUAAAAUGUUGCUGUCUUUGUGAUAAUGAAUUGUCAUGCGUUUGAUAUAAACGAUAUAUAUAUUAUGUGUUGUUGUUUCUUUUAGUCUUCAGUUAUUUUAAGUUGUGGCGGACUGCGUUGUAAACAGAAACUUUAUAAGACUUGUUUUGGCAUCGUGGAAGUGACAACCAGUCUUCUUCCUUUCCGUGUCCACUGUGCAACUUGAGUUUCAGGUCUUAUAACUCACAGAAAGUUCAUUUUCAUCAUCAACAUAAGAGCCAUCGAAAUUUUCCAUGUCGAUCCUGCGGGAAGAUAUUCACUAGAAGACACACUAUGCUACAACAUUGUCGUUCGAAACAUGAAUGCGGCCAGAAACUUAUGCCUUAGUCUGAUGAUCCAUACAGUAUUGGUAAUGUCAGAAAUGGAGACAACCUAAUUCAGUCCAUUUGUCCAGUCUGCCACAAACUUUUCAACUCCUAUGAAUCAUGGAGAGUUCAUUAUCAUUAUCAACAUAAGAGCCACAGAAAUUUUGUUUGCAGAGCCUGUGGGAAAGUGUUUACUAGAAAUCAUGCAAUGUUACAACAUUAUCGAUUGAAACACGGGUCACCGAAAGUCACCUAGGAGAGAGCAUCGCUAGAGUUCAUCUUUUGUAUGAUCAGUAAAACAUCAUGGUUAUCUUGAGUUACUGGACACAAUAGAGAACAUCACCAGUUGUUCACUACGUAACUCCUGUGAACAGUAAAACAUCAUGGUUAGUCCUGAGUUACUGGACACAAUGGAGAACAUCACCAGUUGUUGACUACGUAACUCCUGUGAACAGUAAAACAUCAUGGUUAUCCUGAGUUACUGGACACAAUGGAAAACAUCACCAGUUGUUCUCUGUGUAACUCCUGUGAACUGUGAAACAUCAUGGUUAUUCUGACUUAUUGAACACAAUAGAGAACAUCACCAGUUGUUCACUACGUAACUCCUGUGAACAGUAAAACAUCAUGGUUAUUCUGACUUGCUGGACACAAUAGAGAACAUCACCAGUCAUUCUCUGUGUAACUCCUGUGAACAGUAAAACAUCAUGGUUAUUUUUAUUUGUUUUGAUACCUGUUUCUUAACUUCUGUUGUUGUUACUCAGAACGAGUCCUUACUGCAUUUCAGUAGCAUGGAUCAUCAUAUCCAGAUUUGAGUAAUACAGCAUUAUGAAUAAUCCAAAGAACCCUAAAUGAAACUACUUUAUUUAAAGUUAUAUAAGAAAAGAGAAUUUCUACUGUAAUGCUGAGAGCGAUAGUUUGUAAAUACUUUAUUGCACUCUUGACAAUUAUGAUGUUCGUUGUUGCAAUAAAUUUGGUUUUUGAGA